rnacentral:rRNA from 1 species
UACGUAGGGUGCAAGCGUUAAUCGGAAUUACUGGGCGUAAAGCGUGCGCAGGCGGAUCUAUAAGUUUAGAUGUGAAAUCCUUAAGCUUAACUUGAGAAUUGCAUUUAAGACUGUAGGUCUAGAGUUUGUCAGAGGGGGGUAGAAUUCCAAGUGUAGCAGUGAAAUGCGUAGAGAUUUGGAGGAAUACCAGUGGCGUAGGCGGCCCCCCUGGGAUAAAACUGACGCUCAUGCACGAAAGCGUGGGUAGCAAACAGG